rnacentral:tRNA from 1 species
GGCGCCAUGGCUUAGUUGGUUAAAGCGCCAGUCUAAUAAACAGGAGAUCCUGUGUUCGAAUCUCAGUGGUGCAU